GAUAAACGCUGGCGGCGUGCCUAAUACAUGCAAGUCGAGCGAACGGACGAGAAGCUUGCUUCUCUGAUGUUAGCGGCGGACGGGUGAGUAACACGUGGAUAACCUACCUAUAAGACUGGGAUAACUUCGGGAAACCGGAGCUAAUACCGGAUAAUAUUUUGAACCGCAUGGUUCAAAAGUGAAAGACGGUCUUGCUGUCACUUAUAGAUGGAUCCGCGCUGCAUUAGCUAGUUGGUAAGGUAACGGCUUACCAAGGCAACGAUGCAUAGCCGACCUGAGAGGGUGAUCGGCCACACUGGAACUGAGACACGGUCCAGACUCCUACGGGAGGCAGCAGUAGGGAAUCUUCCGCAAUGGGCGAAAGCCUGACGGAGCAACGCCGCGUGAGUGAUGAAGGUCUUCGGAUCGUAAAACUCUGUUAUUAGGGAAGAACAUAUGUGUAAGUAACUGUGCACAUCUUGACGGUACCUAAUCAGAAAGCCACGGCUAACUACGUGCCAGCAGCCGCGGUAAUACGUAGGUGGCAAGCGUUAUCCGGAAUUAUUGGGCGUAAAGCGCGCGUAGGCGGUUUUUUAAGUCCGAUGUGAAAGCCCACGGCUCAACCGUGGAGGGUCAUUGGAAACUGGAAAACUUGAGUGCAGAAGAGGAAAGUGGAAUUCCAUGUGUAGCGGUGAAAUGCGCAGAGAUAUGGAGGAACACCAGUGGCGAAGGCGACUUUCUGGUCUGUAACUGACGCUGAUGUGCGAAAGCGUGGGGAUCAAACAGGAUUAGAUACCCUGGUAGUCCACGCCGUAAACGAUGAGUGCUAAGUGUUAGGGGGUUUCCGCCCCUUAGUGCUGCAGCUAACGCAUUAAGCACUCCGCCUGGGGAGUACGACCGCAAGGUUGAAACUCAAAGGAAUUGACGGGGACCCGCACAAGCGGUGGAGCAUGUGGUUUAAUUCGAAGCAACGCGAAGAACCUUACCAAAUCUUGACAUCCUUUGACAACUCUAGAGAUAGAGCCUUCCCCUUCGGGGGACAAAGUGACAGGUGGUGCAUGGUUGUCGUCAGCUCGUGUCGUGAGAUGUUGGGUUAAGUCCCGCAACGAGCGCAACCCUUAAGCUUAGUUGCCAUCAUUAAGUUGGGCACUCUAAGUUGACUGCCGGUGACAAACCGGAGGAAGGUGGGGAUGACGUCAAAUCAUCAUGCCCCUUAUGAUUUGGGCUACACACGUGCUACAAUGGACAAUACAAAGGGCAGCGAAACCGCGAGGUCAAGCAAAUCCCAUAAAGUUGUUCUCAGUUCGGAUUGUAGUCUGCAACUCGACUACAUGAAGCUGGAAUCGCUAGUAAUCGUAGAUCAGCAUGCUACGGUGAAUACGUUCCCGGGUCU
rnacentral:rRNA from 1 species